AAUAUAUAUACCUGUAGGAUAAGUAAAGAGGGACUAAAGAACUCCUCAAACAAGAAAUGCAUAAAUGAAAACCUGAAUCAGUAUUCACUUAUGCCCAUUCAUUAUGCACUCAUUUUGUACUGGUGGUGCUCUGAAUCUAAAUGUACUGUAGAUGAAAUUACUUUCAGCAACCUCCCUCAUUUGUUUUGGAAGUGCCUGGAAGUAUUUACAGAAGAAUCACCAAAAAGCAUUCAGAGUGAAGAUUCAGCACUACUUAAAUGACUGCACACAAUUUCUACCAAAUGAAAUGUGUCUUGAACUAUAUUCUACAUCCUUGAACCUCUGUUCCUGGUUAGCCCAGCCUAGGGGUUGCCCUCCAUUGUGAUAACUGGCAGUAAUACCAAUGGGCACUUACUUGGGUGACUUAGGAAUAACUGAAGAGCAUCAUCUUUUUACCAUUCCUUUUCACUCUCCUCCCAUUCAACAUCUUGUGUAGCUGCAGCAUCUUGUGGGUCAACAGAAUGCAAUUAAUUCAUAAUCUUGGAGAUACUGAGGUUGUCACAGUCUGCUUUUCCAGAUGCAUAUAUUUCUUUUGAACUUAUAUGACAAGAUAACGUGAGAAUAAGACCUCUUACCACACCAGAAAAAAAUGCAUAUAUUUCUCAGUCUAUUGCCAUUGAACCCAAAGUAAGAACCCCCUGGGAACUCUGGAGGCAGAUACAUUUGCCCUGAGUCCUGCCGACAUCCGAUCACACAGGCCUAAAGGCUGAUGCUAAAAUUUCAAGAAACAUUUGGAAAGCAACCACAGAAAUCAAACAAACUGGACCCUCGAAGAGCAGUAACAGGAAGCUACAGAAGCACAUCUGAGCCAGCACUCACUUGUCAGCAUGACUUUUCUCCUCCCUUUCAAGCUUCCACUGGAUGUGCUGUGUCCUCCAGCACAGCACCUCCAAAAUUGCUGGGCAUUUUGUUCACACUUCGGAGGCCUGAAGCCUCCUGCAGCUCUGCAAGCUAGAUUGCAAUGACCCUGCACCAGUGUCUCACUGAAAUGAUUGAUCUACUUGUAUUAGUCAUCUCUAGUUUCCCCAAAGUGGUUUAAUUAUUUGAACACAUGAAAUGAGCAUUGUCAGCAGAAGCUUUAUACAGACAAUCUAGAGUCUUAUACAGGCAGGAUUUCAUGAGCCAUUUUC